rnacentral:rRNA from 1 species
AAUCUUCCGCAAUGGGCGAAAGCCUGACGGAGCGACGCCGCGUGAGCGAUGAAGGCCUUCGGGUUGUAAAGCUCUGUGGGGAGAGAAGAAUAAGUGCAACUCAAUACGUUGCAUGAUGACGGUAUCUCCUUAGCAAGCACCGGCUAACUCUGUGCCAGCAGCCGCGGUAAGACAGAGGGUGCAAACGUUGUUCGGAAUUACUGGGCGUAAAGCGCGUGUAGGCGGCACGGCAAGUCGGAUGUGAAAGCCCGCGGCUCAACCGUGGAAGUGCACUCGAAACUGCCGAGCUAGAGUCCCGGAGAGGAAGGUGGAAUGCUUGGUGUAGAGGUGAAAUUCGUAGAUAUCAAGCAGAACACCUGUGGCGAAGGCGGCCUUCUGGACGGUGACUGACGCUGAGACGCGAAAGCGUGGGGAGCAAAC